CUGUAGUUGCUCAGUACUCACGUGUGAUUGUACGGAGGUAGAACAAAGCCAGUGCUAUGUCUUCGGUACCAGUGUGUGUUAUCGUCUGCUGGUCCUAUCCUCAAUCGCUGGCACACUUACAAAUAUGGAACGGGGCCUCAUUAAAUGGGCUCUAUGCGACACUCUUAAACGAUUCCUGUAUUUAAGGAAACAUUUAUUCCUUAAAGGGACAUUUUUAAAAUAAAGUCUAUAUAUUAAUCUCCAGCACCACAUCAACAUGUAAGAAUGGCGUGUUUCUUGUAACAGAGGAAGAUGUGUUUGUAGGCAAUGCCUACUCACUAUUGGUCAAUCACUCCAAUGCACACUGAUGUCAUUGGAAACACUAACAUUUUUACUACACAACAUCAACAUGCACCAUUUUCACGUUAGUACCUUUAAGGUGGUAAACCCUUAGAAUGUUUUAUUCUGCUAGGGCAUCAUGUUUAAGUGGUUUUACCAACUAGACUGCAAACGCUGAUGUUUGUUACUGUCUUCUCUGUAGAUGAAGAAUCCGAGGAGGCACCACCCCAAAAAAGGCUGCCGCUAGGCCCUCAGUGAAGGUCACUGCAGCCAAGGAGGAGUCUGACGAUGAUGAUGAGGCCCCAGCGACUCCUGCAAAGAGGAAGGCUGACAACAAAAGGAGACCCCGCCUGCCAAGAAGGCCAAGUCCGAAAGCGAUGAAACAUUCUGUCUAUUUAUUGGCAACCUGAACUCAAACAAGGACUUUGAUGAAAUCAAAGAAGCCUUGGCAGCUUUCUUCUCAAAGAAGAACCUUGACGUUCAGGAUGUCAGACUUGGUGCAUCAAAGAAGUUUGGCUACGUAGAAUUUGGCUCCGCGGAGGACAUGCAGACGGCCUUGGAGCUGAACGGCAAGAAGUGCAUGGGACAGGAGUUGAAGAUGGACAAGGCCCGCAGCAAAGGGAACUCCCAGGAGGACAAGGAAGGUACCUUUAUAUUACUUCUGCUAUUUGUAGUGCAUUGACUAAAUCUUGCUGUUUGUAAAUGUAAUGUUUUCACAAAUGUGAUAAUUGAAUAAACUGAAGUGAUUUUAAAGUCUUAAA